UUUGACUUGACCCAAAUCCAAUAUGCGGAGUAAAAAGGACCGGAGGGAGUAAAUUACAUGCGCAGAUUUAUUCCUUUCUUUCGUACGACUUACAUGUUGGUAGUUUCUAGAAAUAUGGUGUGAUGUAUAAAGAAUUAUGGUAAAUGCUGUCUAGUGUUUGGGUCAAAUUAUUAUUUGAAAGUCGGGGUUAAAGUUUAUUGAGAAAAGAAGAUUAUAAUUUGGGCUUGAUAGAGUAUGACCAUAUCCCACUCGGUUCUGUUAUGCAAACGUGGUCCACUUUGGAGAAGAAUAUACCAACCAUUGUGGUAGUGAGCCUAACUCACCUUAACAAUUCUAUUUGGGCCUCAUUCCCCUAAUACGCUAGACUAUUUCUGGUAGUCACUUCAUGAUACGAGAGAGGGAAGGCCAGCGGCCAUGGCAACAUAGUCCCCCCGGUUGUUCAUGCCACUUGAGAGGAUGAAGGCUCUAGCGACAUCGUGCGAGAGGCAUUAGCGCUAGCGAGUUCGCCACCAUCCUAGCCGCGAAAGCAAUGUCGUAGAGCAUAUAGUGGAGGGUAGAGCUGGACGGUGGCACGGCGGUGUUAACGUUGCAGGAGGAGGUGCACUUGUACGGGGCACUGCAGUCUGGUUCUUCAUUGAAGGGAUCGCUAGCCCACGUAGCAUCAUGUGUUGGAGGAGGAGGUACACUCAUACGGGGCGCACUACGGUCUGGUUCUUCUUCCAAGCAAUUAGAGAACCACUAGAAAUGCACAGUAAGCAAAAAGUGAACGACGAUCCAAGGGAUCACUAGCCCACGCAACAUCAUGCAUGGAGCUAUAAUGAAUGGGAACGGGAAAAAAUAGAUAGUGAUAGAUCGUGCCACGAAAAUAUCAAAAAACACAAAGAAGAUGGCUAGUGAGCCGAAGUGGGGGUAGAGACAAACUUACUCAAAAUAUGGACAUGAUAGUAGAUAUCCGGGCGAGUGUCAGCUUAGAAGACUCCCAACAAGAUGAUGAUAACGUGUCAAAGCAGACAAAGGGUCACCAUCAUUAGCACGGUGAUGAAUAUUGAGCUACAUGGGAGUCAAUGACGCACUCAUCAUUAAGAGAAACACAGUAAGAACAGCACGAGCAAGAAGAUCUUGGAUUACUUUUCUUCACUAACAAGAGACUUUGAUCCCAAGAAAGUAACAAAGUGGGCCAAUAUUAGACAUAAGAAACUGCUCACUAAUACGUGCCUUCACAAAGGCAAUAUACUCAGUCUCUUCGCUAGUGGUGAACAUGUCAUCAACUUAUAGAAGAAGAGUACGACCAAGAGCAGAAAGGUGGAUCAACAACAGAUCAUGGGUACUCGUUGAAACCAACGACAAGCACCGCAAAGGCAAAACGCUCAAAGCAGACAAGAGGGCUUGCUUCCGGCCAUGGAGAGCGACGUACACGACAAAUCAUGUCGUACGGAACAUAAUACCUAGGUGGUGGCUGCAUAUAAACCUCCUCGCAUAGCUCACAAUUAAGAAAGACAUUUUUAACAUCAAGUUGAGAUAUAGAACAAUGGCGAAUGUGCAAAAAAUGGUCAUAUGUUUCACAUGAGCAAAAAGCCACGAGCCACAAGACGAGCUUUGUAACACUCAACAUAACCAUGAGAGCGUCUUAACAAGUGACGGCACGAACACAAAGAGGAAGAGAAACAAGACCCCAGGUGCUGCUGCGUUCAAGAGCAGCAAUCUUUUUUAAUAUCGCAAACUGCCAUUUUGGACGAACAACAACACCGCAAUAAGAAGUCGGCUCAAGAACAGUAGCGUCAGCGCUUGAAAUAUCAAGGCGGUCAAUUGGUGGAAAUAGAUGGGAACGCAAGUCGUAAGUAGGCCGAGACGGGGAAGAUGGCACAUCAUUAUACACAUACACAACACGCGGUCAUUGAGUGUAAACGUGAGGAAAAGAUGAAAUGAUACGAGGGGGAAUCAUCGGGGUAAACUCAGGUGAUGCAGACAAGGAAGCCACCGAUGAUGAAGGUGUAAAAUCCCGCGAAGUGAGGUCUGGAAAUCAUAGGAGAUGAUGGCGUUAGAUCUGCUAUAAGCCUAUAAUCGGAGAAGUGAAUGGAUAAGGGCUCAACAGGAAUGAUAGGAGUGUCAGAAAAAUUGUGGAAAGAGAUAUAUCCUGCAAUGAAAAGGUCGAGGAACAUGAAUGCGUGUAGAAGGGAUGAGACUAAUCGAAAGUCACAACCUGAGAAAUAGGCAUCCGUCAACCAACGUGAUCUCAACAACGAUAUCCCUUAUGCUCAUCGUCGUAUCCUAAGAGUACACUAAACAAACUGAGAAGUUAGUUUGGUGCAUUCACAAGGAGAAAGAAGAACAUAGCAAACACAACCAAACAAUUGAAGCGUCUGGAAACAAUUAAAUAGACUCUCGAAAGGAGACGGCUAUGUACAGUGGAUUAGAUUGUCGAAGGUUGAUGAGAUAGAUGGAAGUGGAGACAGACUCGGCCCAAAAAUGUGGCGGAAGAGUGAGCAGCGACAUUCAACCUACGAGCCGUCUCAAUAGUUACCUUGCUUGCCCCCAACCAUGCCAUUUCUGAGCAUGAGCACCAGGAUAAGAGAACUGAGCAAGAACACCCUGCUCAACAAGGAUUGAACGUAACAUCAUGGAGAUUUAUUCUCCACCAGAGUCCUCAUAGAAUACAAGAAUAAGCGUAGAGAACUUGGUGUGAACCAUGACAGCAAAAUGCUUACACAGAUAAGACCUCACUACGAAAGGAAAUAAAGUAUAUCCAUGUGUGUUGAGAGAAGUCAUCAAUAAAUAUAGUACAAGACGAGCUUUGUAACGUCCAAGAGAACCAUCAGAGCGAGUCUUAACCUAGUAGAUGCACCAAGUAAUGGGACAAACACGAGGAGGAAGGGAAACAAUAUCCCAUGUGCUGAUGUGCUCAACAGUAACAAUAUCCUCUACCAUCUCAAGGCGCCACUUGGUAUGAAUAACAUUAAGAUAAGAAGUCUGCUCAAGAAAGUAGCGCCAACGUUUCAUAGACUAAGGCGGUCAACAAGCAAAAGUGGACGAGGUCGCAAGCCAUAAGAAGGAUGAGACGGAGAAGAUGGCACAUCAGUAAAUGCAUCCACAACACACGAACGGCGUGUUUAAAAGUGAGGCAAAUGUGGAAGAAUACGAGCAAGAAUCCUCGAGAUAACCUCAGGUUAUGGAGACAAGGAAGUCAUCGGUGAUGAAGGUUUAGAAUCCCGUGAUAAGCGAAGUGAGGAAAUCAAAGGAAAUGAUGGUGAUGAAUUUGGAAUAAUUGGAGAAGCAGGAGCAGUACGAGGAAUGGAUUAGGGCUCAACAAUAGUGAUAGAUUAUGUAAAGGAUAUCCUCCAUUGAAAAGGUUGGGGAAGAUGGUCACAGGUAGAAGGGAGUGGACUCAUCAAAAGUCAUACCAUGAGAAAUAGUCACCCGAUGACCAACAUGAUCCUAACAACAAUAUCACUUAGUCUCAUUGUUGUAUCCUAUGAACACUCAACAGACUAAGCAGUAAGUUUACAUUCAUGAGAGGCAGUAAGGACACAUCAAACACAACCAAACAAUUGAAGCGCUGAAUAAUUUGGAAACGAUCAAAGACUCUUGAAAGGAGAUGACCAUGGUGGAAAUGUAGACGUAUUCAACCCAAAAGUGUGGCGUAAGAGAGGAAGUGACCAUCCAAAAGUGUGGCGGAAGAGGGAGCAGUGACAUUCAACCUACGAGCCGUCUCAAAAGUUUGCAAUGCUUGCGCUGAGCCAUGCCAUUUCUGAGCAUGAUGAGCACGAGGAUAAGAGAACUGAGCUAGAGCACCCUGCUCAACAAGGAUUGAAUGCAACAUCUUCGAGAUUUAUUCUCCACCAGAGUCAUCACAGAAUACAAGAAUAGGCGUAGAGAACUUGGUGUGAACCAUGGCAGGAAAACAUUAACGUAGAUAAGACCUCACUACGAAAGGAAAUAAAGUAUAUCCAGGUGUGUUGAGAGAAGUCAUCUAUAAAUAUAGUACUAGCGAUGACCUCCUUUCGAGGCGAAAGGAGAUGGACCCGAGACAUCAAAGUGAACAAGGUUGAAAGGGUGUUGAGACACUCUCUCGAUAUGAGCAUAAGGUAACUAUAACUGUUUGCCAAGCCGACAACCAUAGGGUUUAGAGACAUCGUCGGAGACUGAUCCAAGAAGACCACGUCAAACCAAGGAUGCAAGAUGAGAGCCACACAAAUGACCCCAGGUGACGAUGCCACUUCUAAACAUAACUGGUAGACAAGGUAACAGUGGUGCAAAGACUAGGGGCUGUAGCAGCAGUGUCACUUGAUCCAGCAUCCUAGGUGCCUGUGCACUCUUCGUUACCCGUCGAUCGGCUUGGUGUGCUUCUCCUGUUUGUGGGUUGUGUGCCACGCACUUGAUUAAGCACCCCACAUUCUCCUACAGUGCAUCGUUGACCCUGGCUUUAGGUAGCGUUGUGUCCUCGGCUUGCCGUGCAUAAUCCAGGUACGCGUCGACUAUCCGAGCUCCUGCUCACCAUUGGUGUUUGCUCGAGUGUGGGUUCUCGUGUCGCCCAUAAAGGGCACGGGAUGUGGGAUCGAGAUAGUUCACAUAGCAACCCACAACAAGGCAAUGGAUGCCCAUCCAGACUGACAGGGAGCGGAGGUGGACACAAAAAGAUGGAUGUUGACUCCAUAGGAGUCUCCAUAGUACGCUCGUCCGUAAGAGCAGCAGGAGCAAGAAGAUCCUGGAUAUACUUGUCUUAACAAAUAAAGAAGCCUUCGAAGGUAGACUCAGGGAAGUAGCGAUGAGGACCAAGGUCAGAGAUAAGAAACUCACUAUGACGAGCCUUCACAAAGGCAAUGUACUUAAGAGUCGUGCAGUAUCAUGAGCACUCGCUGAAAAAUGAGUUGCAUUAACCAAAGAGACAACGCUCAAACUAGGCAUGACGGGUUUGCUUAAGACCAUAUAGAGAACGCCGAAGAUGACAAACCAUGACUGCUGGAAAAGAAUACCCAAGUGGUGGGUACGUGUAGGCAUUGUUGACAUCAAGGGUAGAGAGAGAGAUACUAUGUUGGCAAACUGAAGCCACAUCGAAAGUGUGCCAAAAGGGCUCAUCUGGGCCAUACAGGAGCAAAUGUCUCAUCGUAGUCAUGACUAUAUGUUCUCACCACUAGACGAGCUUUGUAAAGCUCUAGAGAAACAUCAUAGUCUCACCCUUGUGGGCCUAGUUACAGUGAUGAGACGAGCAAGAGGAGGAAGGGAAAUGAGAGUCGACUAGCCGACGAGGUGAAGAGCAUUUGAUGCCAUCACAUGCUGCCAUUGUGGAUGAAAAAAAUGUCAUGAUAAGAAGUCUUCUUGUGAAGAGCACCGCAAUAACUAACCAUAGCAGUCAAUAGGCAGAAGCGGGCGAGCUCGAAAGCCAUAAGUAGGCUGAUCUGGAGCUAUGUGUUGCCAACAGAAGAAGACAUAUUAGUCGAGGGAGAUGACUCAUUAGAAGAAUCCACAACACGCGAACAGUGAGUGUACAAAAGUCAAGGAAGACGAGCAAAAGAAGGAACAUGAAAAGAGAAACUGCCAAGAGAGCCUCGACUAUCGACUGGCAGGGAAGUUACCAGGAUAAGAGAACUGAGCAAGAGCACCCUGCUCAACAAGGAUUGAAUGCAACAUCUUGGAGGUUUAUUCUCCAGAAGAGUCAUCACGGAAUACAAGAAUAGGCGUAGAGAACUUGGUGUGAACCAUGGCAGCAAAACGCUUACACAGAUAAGACCUCACUACGAAAGGAGAUAACGUAUAUCCAGGUGUGUUGAGAGAAGUCAUCUAUAAAUAUAGUACUAGCGAUGACCUCCUUUCGAGGCGGAAGGAGGUGGACCCCAGACAUCAAAGUGAACAAGGUUGAAAGGGUUGUUGAGACAUCAAAGUAAACAAGGUUGAAAGGGUUGUUGAGACACUGUCUCGCUAUGAGCAUAAGGUAACUAUAGCUGUUUACCAAGCCGAGAACCCAGACAGUUUAGAGACAUCGUCGGAGACCGAUCCAAGAAGACCAUGUCAAACUAAGGAUGCGAGAUGAGAGCCACACAAGUGACCCCAGGCGACGAUGGCACUUCUAAGCAUAACUGGUAGACAAGGUAACAGAGGUGGAGAGACUAGCGGCUGUAGCAGCAGAGUCACGUGAUCCAGCAUCCUACGUGCAUGUGCGCUCUCCGUUACCCGCCGAUCCGGCUUGGUGUGCUUCUCGUGUUUGCGGGUUGUGUGCCACACUUGAUUAAGCACCCCACGUUCUCCUACAGUGCGCCCUUGACCCUGGCUUUAGGUAGCGCCGUGUCCUCGGCUUGCCGUGCAUAAUCCAGGUAUGCGCCAACUCUCCGAGCUCCUGCUCACCAUUGGUGUUGCUCGAGCGUGGGUUCUGGUGUCGCGCAUAAAGGGAACACGGGAUGUGUGAUUGUGACAGUUCACAUAGCAACCCGCGGCAAGGCAAAGGAUGCCCAUCCAACUGGCAGGGAGCGGAGGUGGACCCAAAAAGGUGGAUGUUGACUCCAUAGGAGUCUCAACAAUGUGCUUGUCAGUAAGAGGAGCAAGAAGAUCCUAGAUAUACUUCUCUUAGCAAAUAAAGAAGCCAUCAAAGGUAGACUCAGGGAAGUAGCGAUGAGGACCAAGGUCAGACAUAAGAAACUCACUGUGACGAGCCUUCACAAAGGCAAUGUACUUAAGAGUCGUGCAUGGUCAUGAGCACCCGUUGAAAAACGAGCCUUAUUAACCACAGAGACAACGCUCAAACCAGUCAUGAGGGGUUUGCUAAAGAUCAUAUAGAGAACGCCGAAGGCGAUAAACCAUGCCGACUGGAAAAGAAUACCCAAGUGGUGGCUACAUGUAGGCAUUGUUGACAUCAAGCUGAGAGAUAGAUAGAUAGAUAGAUAGAGAGAGAGAGCGAGCCUAUGUUGGCAAACAGAAGCACAUCGAAAAGUGUGCCAAAAGUGGUCAUCUGGGCCAUACAGGAGCAAAUGUCUCAUCGUAGUCAUGACUAUAUGUUCUCACCACUAGACGAGCUUUAUAAAGCUCUAGAGAAAUAUCAUAGUCUCACCCUUGUGGGCCUAGUUACAGUGAUGAGACGAGCAAGAGGAGGAAGGGAAAUGAGAUUCCACUAGCCGACGAGGUGAAGAGCAUUUGAUGCCAUCACAUGCUGCCAUUGUGGAUGAAAAAAAUGUCAUGAUAAGAAGUCUUCUUGUGAAGAGCACCGCAAUAACUAACCAUAGCAGUCAAUAGGCAGAAGCCGGCGAGCUCGAAAGCCAUAAGUAGGCUGAUCUGGAGCUAUGUGUUGCCAACAGAAGAAGACAUAGUAGUUGAGGGAGAUGACUCAUUAUAAGAAUCCACAACACGCGAACAAUGAGUGUAGUAAAGUCAAGGAAGAUGAGCAAAAGAAGGAACAUGCAAGACAAACUGCCAAGAGUGCCUCGACUAUCGACUGGCAGGGAAGUUACAUUGACAGUAAAAACAUGAACAUGAGAAUCUAGAUGUGGAAUACCCAAGUGGUGGCUGCACGUAAAACCCCUGACAAAAUUCACCAUUAAAAAAGUCUUUGUUAACAUCAAGCCGAGACGGAGUGACGAAUAAAGGCCGCAACAAGAUGUGUGUGAACAAUUGUCGUAUGGCCCGCAUGAGCUGAAACUCUCAUCGUAAUUAGGACCAUGAUUCUACUAAAAGCCACGAGCCACAAGACGAGCUUUGUAAUGUUCAAGAGAACCAUCAGAGCGAGUCUUAACCUUGUUGACGCACCAAGUAAUGGGACGAACACGAGGAGGAAGGGACACAAUAUCCGAUGUGCUGAUGUGCUCAACAGUAGCAAUAUCCUCUACCAUGGCAAGGCGCCAUUUGGUAUGAAAAACAUCAAGAUAAGAAGUCUGCUCAAGAAAGUGGCGCCAACGUUUCAUAGCCUAAGGCGGUCCACAUGCAAAAGUGGACGAGGUCGCAAGCCAUAAGAAGGCCGAGACGGAGAAGAUGGCACAUCAGUAGAUGCAUCCAGAACACAUGAACGACGUGUUUAAAAGUGAGGCAAAUGUGGAAGAAUACGAGCAAUAAUCCCCGAGAUAAGCUCAGGUUAUGGAGACAAGGAAGUCACCGAUGAUGAAGGUUUAAAAUCCCGUGAUAAGCGAAGUGAGGAAAUCAUAGGAGAUGAUGGUGUUGAAUCUGUAAUAAUUGGAGAAGCAGGAGCAGUACGAGGAAUGGAAUAGGGCUCAACUAUAGUGAUAAGAAUGUCGGGAAAAGUGAGGUAACACAUCCUCCACUAAAAAGGUCGGGGAUGAUGGUCACACGUAGCAGGGACGAGACUCAUUAAAAGUCAUACUGUGAGAAAUAGCACCCGAUGACCAACCUGAUCCCAACAACAAUAUCUCUUAUGGUCAUUGUUGUAUCCUAUGAACACUCAACAUACUAAGUAGUAAGUUUGGAACAUUGACGAGAGGCAGUAAGGGCACAUCAAACACAACCAAACAAUUGAAGCGCUGAAUAAUCUGGAAACGAUCAAAUAGACUCUUGAAAGGAGAUGACCAUGGUGGAAGUGGAGACGCAUUCAACCCAAAGGUGUGGCGUAAGAGAGGCAGUGACCAUCCAAAAGUGUGGCGGAAGAGAGAACAGUGAAAUUGAACCUAUGAGCCGUCUCAAUAGUUGACGAUGCUUGCCCUCAGCCAUGCCAUUUCUGAGCAUGAGCACCAAGAUAAGAGAACUGAGCAAGAGCACCCUGCUCAACAAGGAUUGAGCGCAACAUCUUGGAGAUUUAGUGUCCACCGAGUCAUCACAGAAUACAAGAAUAGGCGGUGAGAGAUACUAUGUUGGCAAACAGAAGCCACAUCGAAAAGUGUGCCAAAAGUGGUCAUCUGGGCCUUACAGGAGCAAAUGUCUCAUCGUAGUCAUGACUAUAUGUUCUCACCACUAGAUGAGCUUUGUAAAGCUCUAGAGAAACAUCAUAGCCUCACCCUUUGAUGUCAUCACAUGCUGCCAUUAUGGAUGAAAAACCGUCAUGAUAAGAAGUCGUCUUGCGAAGAGCACCACAAUAACUAACCAUAGCAGGCGAGCUCGAAAGCCAUAAGUAGGCUGAUCUGGAGCUAUGUGUUGCCAACAGAAGAAUACAUAGUAAUCGAGGGAGUUGACUCAUUAGAAGAAUCCACAAGACGCGAACAGUGAGUGUAGUAAAGUCAAGGAAGACGAGCAAAA